GCACCUACCAGCCCGCGGCGCAGGGCGCCCCGCUGCAGAAGGUGAAGGGAGACUACUCGUCCGGACGGUUCCAGUCCGGCAAGGUGGAC
rnacentral:tRNA from 1 species